CACGGGGACCCGAGGCAGCUGCCCGGCCUCUGCUGGAGCUGGGACGGGCACCCCUGGGUGCCAGACCUGCACAGGCCCGGCCUUCCCGAGCUCCAGCCGACGGCCCAGAUGGCUGGGGGCUGCUGGGAUCCCAGCUCCCCCCUGCCUCAGGUCUGGGCUGUGCUGCUACUCACGGCGCAGUGCGCUUUUGGGCCCUCCGUUGUGCCUUCUGGAGGUUUUUCAUCUCCAUUUCCACCUCCUCCUUCAGUGCCUGGG
rnacentral:lncRNA from 1 species